rnacentral:rRNA from 1 species
UGCUGGCAGUGCGUCUUAAGCAUCCAAGUCAAACGGGAUGUAGUAAUACAUUUAGUGGCGAACGGGUGAGUAACGCGUGGAUGAUCUACCUAUGAGAUGGGGAUAACUACUAGAAAUAGUAGCUAAUACCGAAUAAGGUCAAUUAAUUUGUUAAUUGAUGAAAGGAAGCCUUUAAAGCUUCGCUUGUAGAUGAGUCUGCGUCUUAUUAGUUAGUUGGUGGGGUAAAACCUACCAAGGCGAUGAUAAGUAACCGGCCUGAGAGGGGAACGUCACA